AUUGAACGCUGGCGGCAGGCUUAACACAUGCAAGUCGAACGAGUGGCGGACGGGUGAGUAAUGCUUGGGAAUCUAGCUUAUGGAGGGGGAUAACUAUGGGAAACUGUAGCUAAUACCGCGUACCAUAGGAUGAGCCCAAGUGGGUAUAGGUAGUUGGAGAGGUAAAGGCUCACCAAGCCGACGAUCUCUAGCUGGUCUGAGAGGAUGACCUGCCGCACUGGGACUGAGGCACGGCCCAGACGCCUACGGGGGGCAGCAGUGGGGAAUAUUGGGCUAGGGGGGCAACCUGCCGCAGCCGCGCCGGGUGAAUGAAGGAGGCCUUCGGGUUGUAAAGUUCUUUCGGUAGCGAGGCGUCAACGACAGAAGAAGCGCCGGCUAACUCCGUGCCAGCAGCCGCGGUAAUA
rnacentral:rRNA from 1 species